rnacentral:lncRNA from 1 species
AUAGGCUCGUAUGUGGCGCCCGGCCCAGAAAGGUACAAUAACUGUAUAUUUUAACUUAAUGGUUUUUUGGGGGGCAUGCAAAUUUCAGCGAGCAGAUUGCACCGAGGCCCGGGCUUGGAGCGGCCUCCCUGGGCCCGGCGGCCCCUUUCCCCAGAACCCCCUGAGCACCCCCCGGCUCGGUGAAGGUUGCCCGUGUCAAAAUCGAGAUAUCAAACACCAAGUGUAAAAAGACAAG